AAAAAAAAACUAUUUGAUAUCGUAACACACGCACGAACGGAAGUGAGCACGGAUCACGAUAGAAGCAAUAUUCAAUUGGUUGGAGUGCCGAAAACAGAACAGGAGAGGAAAGAAGGCAGGAACGAUCCGAUCCUCCAACGUGCUAUCGCCUGAUGAGGAGGAGAAGCGGCUGGAAGGUAGGGACGAACAUCCAGCUCGCGAGUGCAGCACGUGGGAGCAGCAAGAGGGAGGCAAGCAGGACGCGUACACACCAUUCGACGAAGGCAAAGCUGGAGGAAAAGAAGAACGAGGAGAGAAGGCAGGCAAGACGGGUACGUGUGUAUCCCACACCGGUUUUUGGCAGUGUGAAUUGUGUGAGUUUGUAAAUAUGUAUGUGCGAGUAAGAAGGUAAAAUAAA